CCAGACUCCUACGGGAGGCAGCAGUGGGGAAUAUUGCACAAUGGGGGAAACCCUGAUGCAGCAACGCCGCGUGGGUGAAGGAGCGUUUCGGCGCGUAAAGCCCUGUCAGCGGGGAAGAAGAAAGACGGUACCCGACCAAGAAGCCCCGGCUAACUACGUGCCAGCAGCCGCGGUAAUACGGAGGAUGCGAGCGUUAUCCGGAUUUAUUGGGUUUAAAGGGUGCGUAGGCGGAAUAUCAAGUCAGCGGUAAAAAUUCGGGGCUCAACCCCGUCGUGCCGUUGAAACUGGCAGUCUCGAGUUGGAGAGAAGUAUGCGGAAUGCGCGGUGUAGCGGUGAAAUGCAUAGAUAUCGCGCAGAACUCCGAUUGCGAAGGCAGCAUGCCGGCUCCACGCUGACGCUGAGGCACGAAAGCGUGGGUAUCGAACAGGAUUAGAUACCCCCGUA
rnacentral:rRNA from 1 species